AGGUCAUAAAAUAUCUGCACAUGUUUCAGCAAGUGGUUCUGGCCAGCUACAGCAAAACUACCCAUAUACCACUAUUUAAUUUCAUUAAAUUCAACACAUCAGUUAGGUCUGGCAAGACCUAGGAUGUGAGGGAAAAUGAAUCUGUGACCACAGAAAUCUUACAAUCCAUGUAGAGGAGUCCAGUGAAAAUAACAUUGAGUAGGACCACAGAUUAAGUGCCUAAGAGGUGAAAGGUUACAAUGUCCUCUUGGUUGAAGAAGCAUCAUUGCCAAUCCAGUCUGAAAAACAGCAAGUCAUACAUUACAAGAAGCAGUACUGUGAAACAGGUACCAGUGGCUUUUGGCUUCCUCCACCCCCCUGCCGUGUGUCAUGUCCCACACAUUCUACCUUCCUGCUGUUUUGGGGAGGAAGUGAAAUUACAAGUGUUUCACUAUGAAUCCAAAUCCAGAUGCUGAGG
rnacentral:lncRNA from 1 species